GUGCAUAAACCCAUUGAUAUUGAGAGUAAACCAGACUCAUUAUGAACUAGUCAGUUGUGUUAAUUGAUCUUGGUACGUGGCGUAUCGUCACAGCCUUCUGACAAACAGCUGAUUGAGGCAGUGAUUGUAUCAGCUUGUAUAGAACAGCUGAGCUCUCAUUCACUUUUUCUUCUUUUUUUGUAGCCACACGUUUUUUGACCGCUGUACCGCUCAGUACCGCUAAGGGAUUGUGAAUUUAAGUUUUAUUUUUUUUAAAUAUCUUUUAUGUUUUGCUCUGCUGUCAAUCCCUGUACGCCAUCUAGUAAGGAGAGUUUAUUAUUUGCUGAUG